AAAAAGAGAAGAAACCCAAAGCUGAGAAGGCUGAUGCUGGUGGCAAGGUGAAAAAGGGUAACCUCAAGGCUAAGAAGCCCAAGAAGGGGAAGCCCCAUUGCAGCUGCAACCCUGUCCUUGUCAGAGGAAUUGGCAGGUAUUCCCGAUCUGCCAUGUAUUCCAGAAAGGUCAUGUAGGAGAGGAAGCACUCAGUCGCUAAAUCCAAGGUUGAAAAGAAAAAAGAGAAAGUUCUUGCAACUCUUACAAAACCAGUUGGUGGUGACAAGAACAGCGGUACUCGGGUGAUUAAACUUCGCAAAAUGCCUAGAUAUUAUUCUACUGAAGAUGUGCCUGGAAAGCUGUUGAGCCACGGCAAAAAACCCUUCAGUCCGCACAUGAGAAAACUGCGAGCCAGCAUUUCCCCCGGGACUAUUCUGAUCAUCCUCACGGGACGCCACGGGGGCAAGAGGGUGGUUUUCCUGAAGCAGCUGGCUAGUGGCUUGUUACUUGUGACUGGACCUCUGGUCCUCAAUCAAGUUCCUCUACGAAGAACACACCAGAAAUUUGUCAUUGCCACCUCAACGAAAAUCGGUAUCAGCAAUGUCAAAAUCCCAAAACAUCUUACUGAUGCUUACUUCAAGAAGCAGGAGCUGUGGAAGCCCAGACACCAGGAAGGUGAGAUCUUCGACACAGAAACAGAAAUACGAGAUUACAGACCAGCGCAAGAUUGAUCAGAAACCUGUGGACUCAAAAAUUUUACCAAAAAUCAAAGCUAUUCCUGAGCUCCAGGGCUACCUGCAAUCUGUGUUUGCCAUGAUGAAUGGAAUUUACCCUCACAAAUUGGGGUUCUAAAUGUCUUAAGAACCUCAUUAAAUAGCUAACUACAAAAAAAAAAAAAAAGAACACAAUAUUUAUCUGUAUGUCAAGGCUCAGGUGUGUAUACAGUCAUGCCCCCAUAUCCAUGGGGAAUUUCUUCCAGGACCCCUGUGAAUACCAAAUCUGAAGAUGCUCAAGUCCUUGAUAUAAAAUGGAUUAAUAUUUGCAUAUAACAUAUGCACAUCCUCCCAUAUACUUUAAAUCAUCUCUAGACUAUUUAUAAUACACAAUACAAUGUAAAUGCUAGGUAUAUAGUUGUUAUAUCAUUUUUUAUUCAUAUCAUUUUUAUUGUAGUGGUUUUUUUUUCCAAAUAUUUCUAAUUUGCACUUGCUUGAAUCCACAGAUAUGGAACUCGUGGAUAUGGAGGGUUUAUUGUACACAAAAGUCGGGUUCCUUAGUUAAGAUAAAUUUACUCUAGUACUUCCUGAUUAAAGGAUGUAAUCCAAUUCUAUAUGGUUAAUUGUUCUGAAAGGCAUUAUUUUUAGAAGGGCUUUGGUCUAUGUAUAGUAUGAAAAUACAUAUGCAAACAUAAAUGUGUUUAUGUGUGUGUUUCAGUAAUAUGAAAAUGUUAGUAGUUUUCUCUGGUACAAGAUUAGAUUAUGGGUAAUUUUUUACUAGAGCACAUCUAUGUUUUCUAUAUUAGGCAUGUGUAACUUAUAUAAUAAAAUGUUAUUUUCUUUCAAGAAGAAAAUGGUGUUAAAAGCGAAUACAAUAAACUUCCAUUUUACAUAAGAAAACAAAACCAACAGAGGUUCUGAGCAAGAAGCUCCCAGCACUGAAGAGGGCCUCCAUGUCAUCCCACCCUGCCCCAGGGCUUCCUUGUGCUCCAAGUCUAUGACUGGCCUGUUGCUCUGAGAUGCUUUAAGGCACUGCAGAGCAUAGAGAAAAGAUGAGCGUGUCUGGAAUCAAGUGGCAUACACCCCUGUUCUCCCCCUUCCUAGCUUUGUUUCCUUAGACAAGAAACUAUUUUGCCUCUUUGCCUUCACCUGUAAAAUGGUAAUACCUACAGCUCUCAUAAGAUUUUGUGAAUCUUAAACCAGUGCCAGUCAUCAAACAUUAUUCAAGUGGGAAUUCCUAUCAUUAAUUUUUAGGAGCAAAAACUAGAAGCAAUAAAUUAUCAACUCAUCACUAUUUUUACAUUCAAAUGACUGAGACUGUAAGCUCCUGGAAGGCAGAGACCACACAUUUAUAUAGCAGCUAGACAGACAUCAUAUGCAGAUAUGUGCUUAAUUCAAGUUUAGAUGAUGAUAAAGGAAUAGUAUUCUAAUUUUUAAAAAUUAGCUCAGGGCUGGGCACUGUGGCUCAUGCCUGUAAUCCCAUCACUUUGGGAGGCCAA